AAACAUCUUCUCUUGAUAUUAAUUUGAGAUUUUACCUGCCCAAUGAAUUUUUAAUGGCCGCGGUAUUUUGACCGUGCAAAGGUAGCAUAAUCAUUAGUUUUUUAAUUGAUAACUUGUAUGAAUGGUUUGACGAAGUAUUAACUGUCUCUUUUUUAUUAUUUGAAAUUAAAUUUUGAGUUAAAAUGCUUAAAUUUUAUUAUUGGACGAGAAGACCCUAUAGAUCUUUAUUUUUUAAAUUUUUAUUGGUUUUGGUUUAUUUUAUUUGAUUUUUUAAUUUAUUUAGUUGGGGUGACUAGAAGAUAUAUUUAACUCUUUUUUUUUUAAUACAUUUAUUUAUGAAUAUUUGACCUUAUUUUAUUGUUAUAAGAUUUAGAUACCUUAGGGAUAACAGCGUAAUUUUUUUUGAGAGUUCUUAUUGACAAUGAAGAUUGCGACCUCGAUGUUGGAUUAAGAUAAUUUUUAGGUGUAGUGGCUUAUAAUUGUUGGGUCUGUUCGACCCUUAAAUUCUUACAUGAUCUGA
rnacentral:rRNA from 1 species